CUUUAAAACACCACUUCGAGGGUCGGCGGUAGCACAGCCAUCGGCCCCCGCGUUCGGUCGCCGCUGCUCGGGAGAGACCGCGCCCGGGGCCGCCUGCGCUCUGCUCGCAGCCCGGAGCCCAUAGAAAGGGAGCACUUCUUUUUUUUUCCUUCCCAUAGAUUUAGCUCACCCAUAGCAAGAAUACUCUUUUUCCUUUUUUUUUUUUUUUUUUUUUUUCUUUUUUCCUUCAAUUUUUAGGCAUUUUACUUCCCCUCUCCGAUUAAUUCUUCCCUGAUUGUUUUUUUUUUUUUUUAAUAUAUGUAUAUACAUCCUUUUUUUCUUUUUUUCUUUUUUCCCCUCAUACACGCUUUGGUGAAAUACGCACCAAGUAUAUGAAACCAUCAUCCCCUCUGGAAAUACUUUCAUCCAUUCACUAUUAUUCUUUUUCCUUUAAAGUGCCGGGGCAGAGACGCUCUGGAUGGAUUUAAGGGUUUAUCAGAAACCCUCAGUCUCAAAGUAACGCUAAUACAGUUCUCUUCGUGUCAGUAUUUCCAUCGCUAAAACCCCGCAUUUAGUGCUCUACAAUUUUGCCCCCCCCCUCCCCCCCCGGAUAGAUGUGUGGGUCGAGCUUUUUGUUUUACGUUUAGCAGCUGCAGGUGAACAUCAUUUCUCUUUAAAAGUUUGCGGUUUCGGUCCUUCUUUCUGCCCUUCUCGUUACUUAAAAAUAAAGUUUGCAAUUAAAAAACACCCCCCCCCCCCCCCCCCCCCCCCCCCCCCACACACACACACAGUCUAUUCAUUUCCCAGGCGAACUGCAGACUUUAAAGCAGCGAUGGGAAGGAAGCAUAGAGGGCAGAGGCAGAGCUGCAAAGCCCCCUCCUCAGCUCUUCCUCUGGGCACAGCGCUGCCCAGGGUGUCAAUCAGGACUUUAUCUCGGGCCGAAGGAGAAAAUAAAAGAAGAUAAGGCCUCGCUCUCACCCUGGGAAGAAAGCUAAUGGGGCAAGAGGGGGAAAGUCUUCAGCGCCCCGUGCCUCUCCCGGAUAGUGUUCUUGUAGUGACCUUGAGCUGCUGCCGGGGUGGGCAGAAGGGCCUGAGCCGAGCGGCUGCUCCCAUCCUCUGCCCGAGGGACACCUGCGAUUUUCAGUUGUCCCCUCCUUUGCCCCAAGGCGGCCCCACCGCCGCCCGUGGAAGCCGACCCCCGGCGUCGCGCAGCCCCCGGGCCCGCUUCCUCCCUCCCUGACAUCCUUCCUAUUUUUUUUCUUUCUCAUCUUCCUCCUUGCCAAUCCCUCUCUCCUUCUUCCUUCCUUUUCUCGUUUUUCCUUUUUUUUUCCCCUCUCCCCACGUCCUCCAUCUUCCCCCCUUCUCCCGCCCCCGCCCCGCACAGCGAAAACUCAGACAAGGCUGGCAGAGCCGUCGUGAGCACAUCCUUCACCUUAACCGAACCUCACAAAUUUCGGGACCCUUUCCUAGCCCCAUUACCAACCCCACUCCCAGACUCAAUUCCCAGCCCCGUUCUCAUCCCCAUUCACAGCCCCGCGUCUCGUACUACGGCCGUAACCCGGCUCCGUGUGGCUGCCCCGGGCAUCCCAGAAAUACUCGCUGUGCUCAAGGUGAAAAUACAGAUUAUACAUAUCACCUAAGCGGCUCCUGAAAAGUUUGGUUUGUUUUCUUCAGCUCACGUUAAGCGCAAAAAAAAAAAUAGAAUGGGUGAAAGGGGGCAUUCGCUUUCACCAAAAAAGAGCAUUUCCCCCCGGUCCAUGCCCUCGUCCUUUGUGCAAAGGUUGGAUGAGGCCAACGUGGUAAACGCGUAAAUCUGUAGAUCUGUGAGCGCAGAGAGGAGCUGGGAUUGGGACGGGCAGAACCAGCGGCUGCAGACGGUGAGGCCGGACCGUACUCUGCUGCCGGGACUGGGAGAUAUCCCGAGAGCUUUCAUCCUCACAGAGGUGAGGAUCCGGGUGCGAAGAGCCGCUCUGGUUGGCACAGGGUUUGGUGAAGCCAAUGUCUCGCAAGGACACGUGCACGCGCACCUCUACAUCGCAGUAAAAAUUAGACCUUUUCCACGUGCACCGAAACGGAUAUGUGCUUGUCUCGUUUGGUCCGGACGGAGCAGUGGCUGUGUGCACAGAAAAACGUGCUUCGAGAGAACACUCGGAGCUCAUUCCGUGCCCGUCUGCUCUGGGAGGCGGACGUGCACGUUUACCUGCUCG
ensembl:lncRNA